rnacentral:misc_RNA from 1 species
GAUGAAGAACGCAGCGAAAUGCGAUAAGUAAUGUGAAUUGCAGAAUUCAGUGAAUCAUCGAAUCUUUGAACGCACAUUGCGCCCGCCAGUAUUCUGGCGGGCAUGCCUGUUCGAGCGUCAUUACGACCCUCAGGCCCCCGGGCCUGGCGUUGGGGAUCGGCAGAAGCCCCCUGUGGGCACACGCCGUCCCUCAAAUACAGUGGCGGUCCCGCCGCAGCUUCCAUUGCGUAGUAGCUAACACCUCGCAACUGGAGAGCGGCGCGGCCAUGCCGUAAAACACCCAACUUCUGAAUGUUGACCUCGAAUCAGGUAGGAAUACCCGCUGAACUUAAGCAUAUCAAUAAGCGGAGGA